rnacentral:rRNA from 1 species
UACGUAGGGUGCAAGCGUUGUCCGGAAUUAUUGGGCGUAAAGAGCGUGUAGGCGGCCCGAUUAGUCCGCUGUGAAAAGUCCAGGGCUCAACCCUGGAAUGCCGGUGGAUACUGUCGGGCUAGAGUCCGGAAGGGGCGAGUGGAAUCCUGGUGUAGCGGUGAAAUGCGCAGAUAUCAGGAGGAACACCAAUGGCGAAGGCAGCUCGCUGGGACGUGACUGACGCUGAGACGCGAAAGCGUGGGGGAGCAAACAGG